AUUGAACGCUGGCGGCAGGCUUAACACAUGCAAGUCGAGCGGAGAGAGGUAGCUUGCUACUGAUCUUAGCGGCGGACGGGUGAGUAAUGCUUAGGAAUCUGCCUAUUAGUGGGGGACAACAUUUCGAAAGGAAUGCUAAUACCGCAUACGUCCUACGGGAGAAAGCAGGGGAUCUUCGGACCUUGCGCUAAUAGAUGAGCCUAAGUCGGAUUAGCUAGUUGGUGGGGUAAAGGCCUACCAAGGCGACGAUCUGUAGCGGGUCUGAGAGGAUGAGCCGCCACACUGGGACUGAGACACGGCCCAGACUCCUACGGGAGGCAGCAGUGGGGAAUAUUGGACAAUGGGCGCAAGCCUGAUCCAGCCAUGCCGCGUGUGUGAAGAAGGCCUUAUGGUUGUAAAGCACUUUAAGCGAGGAGGAGGCUACUUUAGAUAAUACCUAGAGAUAGUGGACGUUACUCGCAGAAUAAGCACCGGCUAACUCUGUGCCAGCCGCCGCCGUAA
rnacentral:rRNA from 1 species